rnacentral:rRNA from 1 species
GAGAGUUUGAUCCUGGCUCAGGAUGAACGCUGGCGGCGUGCUUAACACAUGCAAGUCGAACGAAGCACUUUAUUGAAACUUCGGUCGAUUUAAUUUAAUUCUAGUGGCGGACGGGUGAGUAACGCGUGGGUAACCUGCCUCAUACAGGGGGAUAACAGUAGAAAUGGCUGCUAAUACCGCAUAAGCGCACAGAGCCGCAUGGUCGGUG